rnacentral:rRNA from 1 species
UUUAAUGAGAGUUUGAUCCUGGCUCAGGACGAACGCUGGCGGCGUGCCUAAUACAUGCAAGUCGAACGCUUCUUUCUUAUCGAACUUCGGUUCACCAAGAAAGAAGAGUGGCGGACGGGUGAGUAACACGUGGGUAACCUGCCCUUUAGCGGGGGAUAACACUUGGAAACAGGUGCUAAUACCGCAUAAUCUUUUUUCUC